rnacentral:lncRNA from 1 species
GCAGUUACAGCAAUUCUCCAUCUGGUUGUGCAGCUUUCCUUGCAAACUACAAUUCUAACUCCUAUGCGAAAGUUGUGUUCAACAAUGAGCAAUACAGCCUCCCACCUUGGUCGAUUAGCAUCCUUUCUGAUUGAAAUAGUGUUAUUUUUAACGGUGCCACAAUAAGGUUCACUUAUGCUUAUUUUCAGUAUGACACAUUCUCCUCUUAUUGCAGUUGUCCCCUUUUGAUGACCUGGUUUACCUGAUUAUAAUUGUUUGUCCCUGGCGCCUUGCAGGUCGGUGUUCAAACAUCUCAGAUGCAAAUGUGGGGAGACAGUGCCUCAUCAAUGACGAGUAGGUUAAUUCUCUGCUAGCGGCACCAUUGCUCACCACAACCGAUUUGCUUGAGCAACUUAAUGUCACUCUCAAGAGGGACCCCCCUUUUCGACCGACACCCUGAAGCACCACACAAGCUUUAGAAAGUCAGAAUUGUACUCCAUAUACCUAAAUUGCCAUGAUAUUAUAUGUUCUUGUAAUUCUAUGUUGAUUUUUUAGAAAUAAUAAAUAUGAUAUUGUAAUGUUUGUUUGACAUCAGUUUAUUUUAUUUGAGUUGACGUAUUUAUAAUAAUAUUAUAUAUUUAUAUUAUCAAUAUAAUAUUAGUGUUACGUUGAUAUCUUGUCACACAGAUUUUACAUAUCAUAUUGAUGUUUGUUGUUUCAUAUCUAUGUUUUACACUAAUUUUUAACUUCCAUGGCAAGUAUGAAUAAUUGAAAUAUUAACGUAGGCCUGAUUGGAUGCCGUCGCAACGCACGGGCACCUAUCUAGUGUAUAGUGUAAGACUGAUCAACAAAUAAUGGUUAUAACUGAACAUUGGUUUUAAUAAGUUUGUCAAAUUUUAUUAGCAAUUACUAAGUACAAGUGUAUACCAACCCAAUAAAAUAAGAGAUCAUUAAUAUAAUAAAACCCACAAUGCAAUGCAUAUGACAAAUUAAGUUUAAUUCCAUAAGUUACUCAUGUGAGGGUCUGAGCUGCUCAUGAUCGUGAGCACGACUGAUAUACCAGUUUUACACUCUGCAGAGGUUGCACAUCUUUAUCCACAAGUCGUGUUACCCAUUUGCCAAGGGAUCACGACUUCCCAUUCAUCUCUAUCGUAGAGACGAGUCAGAGUAGCACUACGUGACCUUUACGAAGUUCCACUAGCUUCAGAAAAUCGCUACGGUUUCUGAGAAGAGCAAUAUAGUAAUCCUCCGUCUGAAAAGCCAUCGCAACAUGAUCAACUUGAGAACCUCCCUAUACCGACAACUCCUCCACCGCCCUUGCCCCUUUUGGGUAAGGUAGUCCUCCACUAGCUUUCCUAAUUAGUCAGCCAAGGGCGUCCCAUACCACCCUUGUGGUAGCACUAUUUUCCUGGAUAGUUCUCCAUGUUCCAGUUAACACAAUAGUCUUAUCAUGAACAGUAAAUAAUUCAAUAACACUAAAUAGCAUGAUCAUGAUUAAUAUGUAUCUUAACACCCAAAAUCACAUAGGUCAAUAGCAUAUACUACCCAAAAGUUCAUUGGUAAGCAAGGUGUAAGGUAACCAAACUAGGGUGACCUAUUUUUAUAUUAAAACUGAAUUUCUAUGCUUAUCUCAUUUUCCUGGGUAAUUUGUGGACGGCGGGCUAUAAUUAUAGAUAAACUAGGGCCUAAUUUGCAAAAUCCAGGACUGAUUUGUAACGGAUCUUAGGCUAUGGCAGAUUGUGGGUUAAAUAGCAAAUUCUUUAGGAUCUCUUAUGCAAAAGUUCUAGGCGAAAGGGGUUUCAACACUUUUCUGGCCGCCCGAUCAAACUCCCACUUAGGAUUAGAUCCGAUCGCAUCCGAACCAGUACCUUAUGUGCAUCGCCCAAUCCGAAUCCAAUGGAUCAGAAUACAUCAAUCCUUACAUGAGCCAAGCAUCAUUAGUGCCCGCACGAUCUAGGAUCUAUGGCUGAAACCGUAUGUAGCGAACGGGUCUCUUCAAUCUAAUCUCAUCCGUUGGUCACGCAUCUGACGGCAAUACCCUUAUCCCUCAUCUCUCCCUCACCGGUCACUCCGAUCACCAUGCCCAGCACUGGCGCGGUGGCUCUUCAUCCAGGGCAUGACUCCUCUCUCUCACAUCUCGGCGGCAGUGUGGCCAUCACGGUAGCAGCCCUGACCGAGUCUGUUCCACUCCUAUUGCUACGCGCCCAACCCCGGAAGCAUCUAUGAGCAGAGAAGAAGGGUACGAAGAAGAGGAAUGGCUCACCGACGGUGACGGCGGGGCGAAACGCUGCUCGGUCCGAGGCCGUAUCUAGUCGUCCCACGAACACCACCGACCUCCCGAGCUCCCCAAACCCGACUCCAAGGAUUGUCGAUGGUGUGAGCUUGGGUUAGCUUCAGGCGACCCGAUGAUUCACUUGGUAGCGACGGCGAUCCUAUGGACUUG